GAUGAAGAACGUAGCGAAAUGCGAUAAGUAAUGUGAAUUGCAGAAUUCAGUGAAUCAUCGAAUCUUUGAACGCACAUUGCGCCCGCCAGUAUUCUGGCGGGCAUGCCUGUCCGAGCGUCAUUUCAACCCUCGAACCCCUCCGGGGGGUCGGCGUUGGGGAUCGGCCCCUCACCGGGCCGCCCCCGAAAUCCAGUGGCGGUCUCGCCGCAGCCUCUCCUGCGCAGUAGUUUGCACACUCGCACCGGGAGCGCGGCGCGGCCACAGCCGUAAAACACCCCAAACUCUGAAAUGUUGACCUCGGAUCAGGUAGGAAUACCCGCUGAACUUAAGCAUAUCAAUAAGCGGAGGA
rnacentral:misc_RNA from 1 species